rnacentral:rRNA from 1 species
UACGUAGGGGGCUAGCGUUGUCCGGAAUCAUUGGGCGUAAAGAUCGUGUAGGCGGCCCGGUAAGUCCGCUGUAAAAGUCAAAGGCUCAACCUUUGAAUGUCAGUGGAUACUGCCGGGCUAGAGUCCGGAAGAGGCGAGUGGAACUCCUGGUGUAGCGGUGGAAUGCGCAGAUAUCAGGAAGAACACCAACGGCGAAGGCAGCUCGCUAGGACGGUACUGACGCUGAGACGCGAAAGCGUGGGGAGCGAACAGG